UAUAAUUCUGUCACAUGUCUGAUGAUGUAAACAUUGCCAAAUACAGCAUACAUUGCUUUAAAUGGCUUUUUUUAUUGACAGUUGUACAAGCUCACGGCCUAAAGGAAUAUUUGCUGUUGAUUUGAAACGGUCAAGUCCAUCUUUUGAUGUAUAAUUCAAGCGUGCUAAAUUAAUAAUGCUUAGCAUUUGUUAUUGGAGCACUGAAUCGCUGGCAGGAGGGCAGAACAGUGUUUGGCAGAGAUGACAGAGAUGAGUUUCACUGCUGCUGCUGCUGCUGCUGGCAAACGCUGAAUAAAACUGAUGUCAAUACAAUACGAUCCUCUCUCAGGGCCGCUUCAUCACCGCCAGCAAAUAACUUUCAUUUGCAAAUAUGCAUGGAUUUUUCAUCAACGUUUAUAAUAAGCAUGAUAGAAAAUGAAAGGAGUGACACAUAUUGCACAUUAUAAAUUGAUAGUUUUACUCUGAGAUUCACUUGAGAAGAAGAGAUCAUUUAUAUUUUAACUAGACAAGGAAAGUUUGACAAACACUCACCUGAAAGGGUUUAUAAAAGCUCUGUGGAGUGAAAACUUUUCCAAUAGCUGUUAAAGUGUUUUGGCUGGUUGCUAGGGUGCCGUUACCAAUUUGUUCUGCUUGGUUGCUAAGAAGUUUUAAAUGGUUGCUAGGCUACUUCUAAAGUAUUCUAAUUGGUUGCUAAGGUGUUGCCAGGCAGUUGCUAUGGUGGUUGCUAAGGUGUUGCUUAGCAGUUGCAAAAGUGUUCUUAAUGGAUCCUAGAGUGUUGAUAAGUGGUUGCUAUUGUGUUCAUGGAGGUUUCUAGGUAGUUGCUAGGGUUGUUGCUAAGGUGUUGCCAGGGAGUUGCUAGGGCAGUUGGUAUGGUGGAAGUUAAGAUGUUGUAAAUGGUUGCUAGGCUAUUGCUAAGGUAUUCUAAGUGGUUGCUAAGGUGUUGCCAGGCAGUUGCUAUGGUGGUUGCUAAGGUGUUGCUUAGCAGUAGCAAAAGUGUUCUAAAUGGAUCAUAGAGUGUUGAUAAGUGGUUGCUAUGGUGUCCAGGGAGGUUGCUAAACGGUUGCUAGGCAGAUUAUGUAAAUAAGCCCUGUGGAGUUUGAAAGUUUUUACUUGCCUUUCUAGAUAGUUUGCUAAGGUGGUUGCUAGGGUGUUGCUAAACAGUUACUAAUAUGUUCUGCAUGGUUCUAAGAGCCCUGUGGAAUUUGAAAACUUGUCUUUCUGGGCCACUGCUAAGGUAUUUUAUGUGGUUGCUAGGCAGUUGAUAGGGUUUUUGCUAAGGUGUCUCCAGGCAGUAGCAAGGGUGGUCGGUGGUUGCUAAGGUUUUGCUAAACAGUUACUAAUGUGUUCUGGAUCGUUGCUAAAGAAGUUUAUAAGGUGUUCCAAAUAGUUGCUAGGCCAGUGCUAA
ensembl:lncRNA